rnacentral:tRNA from 1 species
GGGAGAGACUGGCGUAAUGGUAGAGCAUUUGCUUUUCAUGCAGGAAGUCCCAGGUUCAACCCCUGUCAUUUCCA